UGGUUCUGGCAUCGAUGAAGAACGCAGCGAAAUGCGAUAAGUAAUGUGAAUUGCAGAAUUCAGUGAAUCAUCGAAUCUUUGAACGCACAUUGCGCCCUCUGGUAUUCCGGGGGGCAUGCCUGUUCGAGCGUCAUUACAACCCUCAAGCUCUGCUUGGUAUUAGGCUUCACCUGCUACAGGCGGGCCUUAAAAUCAGUGGCGGUGCCAUCUGGCUUCAAGCGUAGUAAUAUUUCUCGUUUCGGAGUACCAGUUGUGAACCUGCUAUAAAACCCCAAUUUUUCAAAGGGGAAAAAGGAUCAGGUAGGGAUACCCGCUGA
rnacentral:misc_RNA from 1 species